UAUGAAGCAUAACGUGGUCUUGGAGUGAUCAUUUCUUUCUCCAUUUUUUAAUUUAAAUUAGACAAAGAUUAUCUUACAUGUCAUACCCUGUUCCCUCUCCCCUCUCCUCUGCACCCGAAUAACACUCCCAACUAUCCCAUACUAUUUCUGCUCCCCAGGAAGAGUUAGAUCAAACAUGGGGGCUCUUCACUGUUGUCAUAUCCUUUGGGAGAGGGUAUAGGCUCUCCACUGUGUGUCUUGGAUCAGGAAGUAUCCCUCUAUGUGUAAUGGGCUCCCAAAGUCCAUUCCUAUGCUAGGGUUAUCUAGUGAUCUACUCAAAGAGGCCUGAUAGAUUUCCGAGGUCCCUUCACUGACAUCCACAUUAAUAGGGUCUGGAUCAUUUUGGAGUGAUCUUUAUGAGGACCUUGCUGUAGCAGCAGAAAAAGAUGAAGACUAUCAGCACAAGUGUCCAAGGUUCUAGUCAAAAGAGGACAUAAGGAUGUUAGAGCCGCUAGUCACCAGAUGAUGCUAUCAGAGGACAACCCCAGAUUGUACCAUGUGAAGAGACUUCAAGCUACAUACUCUCACAGGAUAAAGCUCUGUUGUUGAGACACAGGCCAGGGACAACUGUCCUCUACGACAGCCCACAGUGUCCAGACAUGUCAGUUCUUUUCUUUUACUAACCUCCACCUGUGUUUGUCAGAAAAGGUGACCAAAGCUGAGGAAGAGCCAACACCUGCCUCGGCACUCCAGUUCCCAACUGUGACAGGAUGGAACUCUGCUGUUAUGCUGGUCUCCAGGAACUGACUUCUGACGAUCAUGGCAGAGCCAGACAAAGUCUAAUGACAAUGCAGCAUUGGACACAUGAUGACUGCAUUGCCUGGCUUCUGAAGAAAAACAGGUACAGGAUCAACCAUAGCCAAUAUACUCAGUCUGAAGACUGAACACUAAAGAGACUAGUUAGAGAGGCCAAGGCCAAGCAGGGGCCCUGAAGAAGCCUGAGCUAAAAGUUUAGCUGGAAGUAUCUGAGCAUUAAGCACAAAGGUAAAGAUGCAUAAACCUAAAAAACUAAGUGAACCAUGGCAGACAACUGACCAUUGUACUGCCAAACCUCAAUGGACAAGGGAAGUGUGCCAAGAACAAAUCUGAAGUGAAAGAGCCCUGCACCAAAAAAAAAAAAAAAAAAAAGUGGGCAUGGCAAUAGUUAACCCUAAGAAGCCCAGGACCAAAUGAAGAUUAGAUGGGGUCUGGACAAAUCCAUGACCCUGAAUAAUACCAGGCCUAACGAGAGGUUACGUAUUGACAUGGACAAAUGUCUCAAAGGCGGAGGACAAUGCAAAAAGAGUGAUCAAACCAUGACCAUUAAGUAGCCUGGGCCCUAACACUGGAGUUGUUUGGGUUUGGGAAAAUUCCUGAUAUGAAAGAGAUCCAGAUCAACAUAAGAAGUGUUGUGUACCUGGACAAAAUCCAGACCAUGAAGAAGCCCAGGGCUGAAUCAAGAUGAAAUUUGGACCUGAGCCAAUCUCAGAGCAUUACAAUGCCUGGGCACAAAAAGAUGGUAUAUGUCCCCAGGAAUAUGCUACAAAUGAAAGAGGCCCAGGUCAAUCUACAAGAGUAUUAUGAUUGGGCCAUUCCCUAACUCUGAGGGAGCCUAGGCCAAAAUGAAUAAUAGUAAAGGCCUGGCCUGACAUACAUCCCAGAAGAAGCCCAGGCCCAAAGCAAGAAAAAAGGUGGGCCUGGGUCAAUCCCUGAACUUGAAAAUAUCUAGAACCAAAAAGAUUUGAUAUACGGGCCUGGGACAAUUUCACAAAUGAAGAGGCCCUUGUAAAACCACAAAAAAUAUGCCUGGAACAAACCCUCUCCCUUGAGAUGCCCGGGCCCAAAGCAAGAAGACAUGUGGGCCUGGGCUCACACCUUAACCAGAAGAAUCCCAGGCCCAAAGUAAUAGCAAUGAGGGCCUGGGCCAGUCCCUGAAACUAAAUAAGCCUGGGCCCCAAAGGAGGUGAUAUAUGGGCCUGGGGCAAUUUCACAAAUGAAGAAACCCAUAUAAAACCACAAAAGAAUAUGCCUGGAACAAACCCUCUCCCAUGAGAUGCCCCAGCCCAAAGCCAGAAGAUAUUUGGGCCUGGGCUGAACCCUUAAUCUAAGAAGCCCAGGCCCAAAGAAAUAGGAGAUGUGGGCCUGGGCAGUUUCUCAACUUAAACAUGCCUGGGCCCAAAAAGAGGUGACAGAUGGGCCUGGGACAACCCCACAAAAGAAAUGGUCCAGGUAAAACCACAAAAGGAAUAUACCUGGACCAAACCCUCUUCCUUGAGAUUCCCAGGCCCAAACCAAGAAGACAUGUGGGCCUAGGCUAAUCCCUUACCCUGAAUAAGCCCAGGCCCAAAGUAAUAAGAGAUGGGGGCCUGGGCCAGUCCCUGAAACUAAAGAUGCCUGGGCCCCCAAAGAGGUGAUAGAUAUGCCUGGGACAACCCUACAAAAGAAAUUGUCCAGGUAAAACCACAAAAGGAAUAUACCUGGACCAAACCCUCUCCCCUGAGAUGCCCAGGCCCAAACCAAGAAGACAUGUGGGCCUGGGCUAAUCCCUUACCCUGAAUAAGCCCAGGCCCAAAGUAAUAAGAGAUGGGGGCCUGGGCAAGACCCUGAAACUAAAGAUGCCUGGGCCCCAAAAGAGGUGACAGAUGGGCCUGGGACAACCCCCCAAAAAAUGGUCCAGGUAAAACCACAAAAGGAAUAUACCUGGACCAAACCCUCUCCCCUGAGAUGCCCAGGCCCAAACCAAGAAGACAUGUGGGCCUGGGCUAAUCCCUUACCCUGAAUAAGCCCAGGCCCAAAGUAAUAAGAGAUGGGGGCCUGGGCAAGACCCUGAAACUAAAGAUGCCUGGGCCCCAAAAGAGGUGACAGAUGGGCCUGGGACAACCCCCAAAAAUAAAUGGUCCAAGUAAAAGCA
rnacentral:lncRNA from 1 species